UAGUUAAAAUACACAUUUUAGUCGUGUUUUCACUCAGUCCUGUUACCCUGACACAUUCCCCCCUCUAAACUUUGGGGCAUUCCACAAGUCACAUGAUCAACAGGAAGUAGCAUCAUUUGAGUCCUGAAGGCCAUGGGAAGACAAAGUCAGUUCUCUCACUCUUUUUAUCAUAUUGGAGCAAAUCGAUUAAGUGCUGCAGAAAAGCAGCGGCGCUAUCAUGCUCGACGCGAUGCCGACCCAGAAAGGAGAGACAGAUACUUAAAGAAGGAACAGCAGAAAUACAGGCAAAGGAUGAAGGGCUUAAAAGGAGGUGAAAGACAUCAGAAAAGCACCGGAAACAAACUGAAGAGCUACAAAAGCAGCUACAGACACAAACCCGAAAAAGGAGAGGUAUAAGGAAAACAUUCUGCGUAUGAAACAGAAUAAUCCAUCUCCAUGUACAAAAGUUGACAAACAAAUGAGACCGCUACCACGCUCUACAAUGCAAAAGACCCUUCUCUUCCACGAGGCCUUAGUGGAGGACAUCCGACAGAGGUACAGCAACUCACGGGGAGAAAGGGAAAGGCAACUCAUCUCUAAGAUAGUGACAGGAAAACUCCAAAAAAUAUAGGCUGCAACGUCUCUCCCAAAGUUCAUUUGGGUUGUCAAAGAAAAGGUGGCUGAUGAAUGCGAAGAAUGCAGAACUUAACUUAAACUACCAAAGGAAGAGAAACAGUAGGGUGGUAGAUGGUUCAUAAACAAAGUCCGAGAUUUUUACACCAUGGAUGAUGUCAGUCGAUUAACGACUAGGAAGAGGCAGACCCCUCACACAGAAGAAAAUCCGACGAGGUUCCUUUUGGACACAAUGAAAAAUCUACAUAUGAAGUUUUUGGCAGAACAUGAUGGGUUUAUCUCAUACUCCCUCUUCUGCUCACUGCGCCCCUUUUGGGUUGUUCACCCAACUCUAAGUGACCGGGAGACUUGCAUGUGCAAACUGCACGAAAACCUCAGUUUUAUCAUACAGAAACUGCACCACCUGAAGAUAAUCAACACUUUCAAUCCUGAUGAACUUCUAAAAUCCGUCACAUGCAACACAGAGUGCAUGUAUGGAGAAUAUGCGGUGUGCAAGGACCUCUCUUGCCCUGUCUCUGGCCAAUACAAUGAUAAGAAUGAAGUAACUUAUGUCCAGUGGGCAACUGUGGAUAAGGAGCACAAUAAUGACCCCAAUGGCAGAACAUUCAAAGUCACCAUCAAAAAAAGAGUUCCAGACCACCCAAGAGCAACUGCUGGAACAGCUGAACCUGAUGCUGUGCUAGUUUAAGAUGCACACUUACAACAUCAAGAAUCAGUUUACCCACUACAGGGCACUGAAACAAGGCUUCAAAGCACAUGAAUGCUUAAUUCAUGUUGACUUUUCUGAAAAUGACCUCUGUAAGUACGCCACAGAAAUACAGUCGGUCCACUUCAGAGCAUCACACCAGCAGGCAACAUUGCACACAGGUGUGCUUUAUGUGCAUACAACCCCCCGACUGGUGUCCUCCUGCACAGUGUCCCCCUCCAGACAGAAGGGCCCACCAGCAAUCUGGCAGCACUUGUCACCAGUGCUUGAUUAUGUGCAGAGUGCACAUCCAGAGGUCUCCACUAUCCAUUUUUACAGUGAUGGCCCUUGCACUCAGUACAAGCAGCGAGGGAAUGUUUUCCUGUUGAAUGUUUUGUACUGAGCUGUUCAGAAGAGGAUUCACUGCUGGAACGUGGAACUUCUUUGAGGCAAACCAUGGCAAGAGUGCCCCGGAUGGAGUGGUAGGGCCCUGAAGAGGACGGCUGACGGUCUUGUCAGCAAGGUGACAGAUAUCCCUAAUGCUUCAGAGCUGUUUUCUGUGUUGAGCAAGAUGGAUACAGCAAGCAAGUUGUUGUUUGUGGAAGAGGAAGCAGUCAACAGAGCAGUGCCAGAGAUGCCCAAGGAUGUGCCACCAGUUCCAUCUAUGAUAAAGAUGCAUCAGGCAGUAACCCUAGGCCAUGGAGAGCUGACCUACAGUGACGUCGGCUGCUUGUUCACAGCAAGACAACAUCUGAGCUGUUAGUGCUUUAAUGCAAAGCAUUUCACAUUCAAUCGACAGAAGGCUCCCACGACCACAGGAAAUCAGUGGCAAAGUCCUGAGGUUGUUGGCAAAUGGUGUGCGCUGAAGUACAACGGUCAACUGUACCCUGGCAUCAUCACAGACACAAACAACACAUACGUCAAGGUUUGUUGUAUGAAUAGUAUUGGGGCCAACAGGUUUUGCUGGCCAGCCCGCGAAGACAUCCUUUGGUACCUGUUUCAAGACAUCCUGUGUACCGUCCCACCAGCGAGGCAAGUCACAGCUCGUUACAUGGAAACUGACAACGAAGAAACUAGACUGUUUCUUAGAAAAGGCAAGUUUUUGUUCAUUUUUUUAUUGAAAUUCUGUAUGAAAUACAAUUUUGUUGUGUUUGCAAGUGAAUGUUGUGUUUAUAUGCAGAAAAUAGUAAUUUCAAGUUAAUAUUAGAUACUGGUAGUCAAUGUAGAGAUAUGAGGAUCUGCUUCAUAUGCUCAGCUUUUUGUAUUUGUUUUCUUUCUUGCCUUUUGUUGAGGAAUAUGGAGAACCCAUACUGUGCAGAGGCAGGAGCCUCACACACAUGCUGCAGGGGGAGGAGUGAUACUCACACCUUUCUCUCUCUCUCUCUUUCCACCGCCCACCCCGCACACACACACACACACACACACACACACACACACACACACACACACACACACACACACACACACACACACACACACACACACACACACACACACACACACACACACACACACACGCACACACACUCAUGCAGAAGCAUGCACACACAAUUGUUACAGCUUUUAUGUUGAUAUUUAGACUUAAGAUAUUUUUUGCCAAAUAUAAUGACCUCUGUUUUAUUUUUGUUUAAUUGAAGGAAGUUCUGUGACAUCCAGUUAUUCUCACAAGCACUCAUUCCUGUUUCUCAGUGGUCAUUCCUGUGACACAAUGUUCAUUCCUGUUACUUCAUUGUUUUUUAGUAAAAAAAAUAAAGAUAAACCACCUAUUUUUCAA